AUUUAAGUAGUUUAAUUUAAAAUAUUGAUUUGUGGAAUCAGUGAUAUACAUAAAGUAUCUUAGAUA
rnacentral:tRNA from 1 species